AGCAACCGCGGUAAUUCCAGCUCCAAUAGCGUAUAUUAAAGUUGUUGCAGUUAAAAAGCUCGUAGUUGAAUUUCGGGGUCAGUAGGUUGGUCAUGCCACUGGUAUGUACUGGUCUCACUGAUUCCUCCUUCCUGAUGAACUGUAAUGCCAUUAAUUUGGUGUUGCAGGGAAUCUGGACUGUUACUUUGAAAAAAUUAGAGUGUUUAAAGCAGGCUAACGCCUGAAUACAUUAGUAUGGAAUAAUGAAAUAGGACGUUCGAUCCUAUUUUGUUGGUUUCUAGGAUUGACGUAAUGAUUAAUAGGGAUAGUUGGGGGCAUUAGUAUUCAAUUGUCAGAGGUGAAAUUCUUGGAUUUAUUGAAGACUAACUACUGCGAAAGCAUUUGCCAAGGAUGUUUUCAUUAAUCAAGAACGAAAGUUAGGGGAUCGAAGACGAUCAGAUACCGUCGUAGUCUUAACCAUAAACUAUGCCGACUAGGGAUCGGAUGAUGUUAAUUUUUAAUGACUCAUUCGGCGUCCG
rnacentral:rRNA from 1 species